UGUACACGCUGUGACUAGCAUAUCAAUAAGCGGAGGAAAAGAAACUAACAAGGAUUCCCCUAGUAACGGCGAGUGAAGCGGGAAGAGCUCAAAUUUGAAAUCUUAAGGGUUUCCCUUUACGAAUUGUAGUUUAAAGAAGUGUUUUCUGUUGAGGUUUUGGUAAAAGUUCUUUGGAAUAGGACAUCAUAGAGGGUGAGAAUCCCGUAUUUGACCUUUACUUUCAACUUUGUGAUACACUUUCAAAGAGUCGGAUUGUUUGGGAAUGCAGUCCAAAAUGGGUGGUAAAUUUCAUCUAAAGCUAAAUAUUGGCGAGAGACCGAUAGCGAACAAGUACCGUGAGGGAAAGAUGAAAAGAACCUUUGAAAAGAGAGUUAAACAGUACGUGAAAUUGUCAAAAGGGAAGCGUUUGACACCAGUGUUGUUUUUCUGAAAAUCAAUUAAAGAACUGUUUAUGCUAAGCUGUUUAGACUUUAUCAGCUAAUCUGUUUAGUUUUGAGCUUUUCUUUAAUGCACUUUUCAGUUAACAAGUCAACAUCAAUUUCUUUUGCUGUAAAAAAGCUUGAGGAAGGUGGCUUGAGAUUCGUCUUAAGUGUUUAUAGCCUCUUGCCUAUGCAGUCCGGAGAGAUUGAGGUCUGCAGCGUAGAUCCUUCGGGGCUAAAUGCAUUUGUGCUAAGUUAUAGCAUUUUAUAGACAACUUGUUGACUAUGAUUUGUCUUGUAGCUUACUCGCUUAUGUUAUUUUACCUACGCUUAGGAUGUUGAAGUCAUCGUAUCGCGC
rnacentral:rRNA from 1 species